UUGUUGGGCCGAAGGGCCUGUUUCCACACAGUAAUGUAAUCUAAAAACAUUCUGCAGGAAAGGUUUCAUAACUGCAGCAAAUUUUUCAUAACUGGAAGGACUCUUUGACAGAUUAUAAAGGUAUAGGAAUUCUCUCGAGUACGAGCAAUCAUUGGACUUUUCCUGUUAUAAGCAUGUUUUUCCUGCCCCUGACUAACACUGAUUGUGUAACAACUCCCUAUUUUAUUUCUGACCUCCUAUGGUGUGAACUGUUGUCACAGCCUCCCUGCAGCAACAUUCUUAUCCCCACUCCUGUUCGUUUAUGUAAUUAAAUGGUAAACAGAGGCCUGGAUGUUGAAAAUACUACAGCCAGUUGACAAGUAAAGCUCAAAUGGCAGUUGCACCUAGCUUUUCAACUGCCCUUUGAUUAAUAAAUGCUGGCCUAGGAUCCUGUGAAUGUAUUUAAUAUAGUGUGUAUUUAAGAGAUUAGUAGUUUCAGUUGAAAGAAGAGAAUGUUUUCGAUAUUAAUUUUUAAUGUUUGAGUCUCUCUAGAAAUCUCCAAGUCCCAAGAAGAUGUGAUGAAGAGCAAAUUACUUACAGCAAAUUAUGGGUCAGAAGCUGGUGAACUAAAGAAAGACAGAAGAAGUCAGUCGGAUACAGCUUUAACCAGCUCUUGUAAGCUGUCAACCUCACAAGUCUC